CCAGCUUGGCUUUAGAAAAGGCUAAGGGGUGAUCAAUAUUAUGUUUGCUGCCUGAGAACGCCAGGAGAAAUACCAGAAGCAGAACAGAGAUAUGUACACAGUAUACUUUGAUCUUUUCAAUACUGUCAGUCACAAGAAUUUAAGGAAGAUCAUGGCAAAUUUUGGGAAGAUUUAAGUCUUUUUACUACAUCUUUACCCUAGCAUAUGUAUUUCUAAGAUUCAGCUAACACUUUCAACUGAGUUGUUACUACUUCCUUACAAAAUUAUGGGAGGACUAUAUUCCUUCUCUUUUAUCUUAUUUUUGUAUUACUGAUGCAGAAACUGAGGCCCCAAGAACAAAAGUGACUCAAAGUGCCAUGAAACCAUUAUCAGUGAAUAUGCUCCCAUCAUGAUGAACCUGAAAAAGUAAAAGGAAAAUAUUGUGAAGAUCUGGAAAAAAUAUCAUUAUUGUGCCAAAAGAGAAUAAGAUUAUGAUUCUAGGUGGUUUUAAUACAAGAACAAGCAGAGAGUAUUAGACAUGACAAGAAGUCUGGGAGGAAUGAAGUUGGAAACAGCAACAACAGUAGUCAUUUACUACUGAAAACUUGUAUAGCGUGUAAACUUCUCAUCACCAACAUUGUAUCUGUUUACCUAAAUUCAA